rnacentral:misc_RNA from 1 species
AACGCACCUUGCGCUCCUUGGUAUUCCGAGGAGCAUGCCUGUUUGAGUGUCAUGAAACUCUCAAACCCAAGUUUUGGAUUUCGAUCCAUGCUUGAGUUUGGAUUUGGAUGUUUGCCGGUGAUAAGCCGACUCAUCUUAAAAGUAUUAGCUAGAUCUGUCUCUAUGACUGGUUUGACUUGGCAUAAUAAGUAUUUUGCUGAGGACAUCUUCGGAUGGCCAGGACCUAGACUAUUGUCUGCUAACUAAACCAUCACCUUAAGUGCAUCUUCGGAUGUUACUCAUUGUGUAACUUUGACAUCUGGCCUCAAAUCAGGUAGGACUACCCGCUGAACUUAA